CGCCUCUUGCACCUAUAUAAGAGGUCCAGCCUGCCCAGUGACUAAGUUCAACGGCCGCGGUAUCCUAACCGUGCGAAGGUAGCGUAAUCACUUGUUCUUUAAAUGAGGACUAGUAUGAAUGGCACCACGAAGGUUAUGCUGUCUCCUUUUUCUAAUCAAUGAAACUGAUCUCCCCGUGAAGAAGCGGGGAUACAACUAUAAGACGAGAAGACCCUAUGGAGCUUUAAACCAUGUAACACUGGCUCACACAUUAAAAUAUUCCAGAAUUUUUCAUAAUUACUCUAGCCACCAUGAUUACUAGUUUUAGGUUGGGGUGACCACGGAGCAAAAAUUAACCUCCAUGUUAAACGGAGCUACUCCUGAGCCAAAAGCCACGACUUUAAGCACUAAUAAAUUAAUAUUAAUUGACCCAAUAUUUUUGAUCAACGAACCAAGUUACCCUAGGGAUAACAGCGCA
rnacentral:rRNA from 1 species